UACGUAGGUGGCAAGCGUUGUCCGGAUUUAUUGGGCGUAAAGAGCGUGUAGGCGGCUUUACAGGUCCGUUGUGAAAACUCGAGGCUCAACCUCGAGACGCCGGUGGAAACCGUAAGGCUAGAGUCCGGAAGAGGAGAGUGGAAUUCCUGGUGUAGCGGUGAAAUGCGUAGAUAUCGUAAGGAAGACCAGUGGCGAAGGCGGGUCUCUGGACAGUUCCGUGACGCUGAGGCACGAAGGCCAGGGGAGCAAA
rnacentral:rRNA from 1 species